rnacentral:misc_RNA from 1 species
CCUGUUCGAGCGUCAUUACAACCCUCAAGCUUUGCUUGGUAUUGGGCAUCACUAUCCUAGGUGUGUCUCAAAGUCAUUGGCGGUGCCACUUGGCUUCUAGCGUAGUAAUACUUUUCGCUAUGGAGUCUAGGUGAGUGCUUGCCACAACCCCUAAUUUCAAGAUUGACCUCGGAUCAGGUAGGGAUACCCGCUGAACUUAA